rnacentral:rRNA from 1 species
UGCGCAGGCGGGCCUUUAAGUCAGUGGUGAAAUCUUGCCGCUUAACGGUAAAAUUGCCAUUGAAACUGAAGGUCUUGAAUAUGGUUGAGGUAGGCGGAAUGUGUUGUGUAGCGGUGAAAUGCAUAGAUAUGACACAGAUCGCCGAUUGCGAAGGCAGCUUACUAAGCCAUUAUUGACGCUGAGGCACGAAAGCGUGGGGAGCGAACAGGAUUAGAUACCCUGGUAGUCC